UGGGCUCAAUAUGGACUGAAUAUCAAGAUGUCAAAUCCUAACAAUCUUCAUUUCAACUUGACAUUCGGCAUCCUUCUAACUCUGAGAGCUUCUAGAUCUCCUCACCCCCAUGCCCUAGGGCAAUUGCCUACUGAUCAUGGAUGGGCAAAUAUUGGAGUCGAACCAGGCUGUUCGAUCCUGUCUCCAUCAUAUACUAUGCUCCUCU
rnacentral:lncRNA from 1 species